rnacentral:lncRNA from 1 species
AUUUUUCUUUUCAUGGCGCGGAUUUCUUUGUCCAUUUAUGUCGAGGUUUCCAUGGCUCAAGCUUUUAUGAGUUUUGACAUUUUCAACUAAAAUAGUUCUUUUUUUCAUAAGUAUGUGUUGUUCUACUACCAUGUUUAGUUUUUAGUCUAGAUGCUUAUUUUCUUCAAUAAUCCAAUGAUGAGAUUCCUGAUGGUUGAUGGUUAUUGUCUCAUGGACAUCUGACAAGUACUCAAUUUUGGAUCUUUUGAAAGCCUCGUAAAAUGGUAGUCUCUUUUGGUGUUCUCGCUGCUCAUCAUUUGUGCUUUCUUUUUCUUGUAUUAUGCUUGCUUGAUUUUGUUUGUUGGAUGUAUGUAUGGUGACAGUUGAGAGGAAUAUGAC